rnacentral:misc_RNA from 1 species
AAAGCCACAGGAGGAAAACGAUGAAGGUGAAUGAUCGGGUAACAGUCAAAACGGAUGGCGGUCCGCGUCGUCCUGGUGUGGUACUGGCAGUUGAGGAGUUUAGUGAAGGCACAAUGUACCUGGUUUCGCUGGAAGACUACCCGCUCGGCAUCUGGUUCUUUAAUGAAGCAGGGCAUCAGGACGGUAUCUUUGUGGAGAAAGCAGAGU